AUUGAACGCUGGCGGCAGGCCUAACACAUGCAAGUCGAACGAGUGGCGGACGGGUGAGUAAUGUCUGGGAAACUGCCUGAUGGAGGGGGAUAACUACUGGAAACGGUAGCUAAUACCGCAUCCCUCCGCUGUGCCCCGAUGGGAUUAGCUUGUGGGGGGGGAAAAGGCUAACCAAGGCGACGAUCCCUAGCUGGUCUGAGAGGAUGACCAGCCACACUGGAACUGAGAAACGGUCCAGACUCCUACGGGAGGCAGCAGUGGGGAAUAUUGCACAAUGGGCGCAAGCCUGAUGCAGCCAUGCCGAGUGUAUGAAGAAGGCCUUCGGGUUGUAAAGUACUUUCAGCGGGGAGGCGUUACCCGCAGAAGAAGCACCGGCUAACUCCGUGCCAGCCGCCGCGGUAAUAC
rnacentral:rRNA from 1 species